CUCCUGACCUCGUGAUCCACCUGCCUCAGCCUCCCAAAGUGCUGGGAUUACAGGCGUGAGCCACCGGAGUCUUUGUAUUCUUAACUAGUUCUCAAAGCCCAGGUUUUGUUAUUUCUCAUAAAGAAACCAAAAUCCUGUGGUUCAGUCCUGGAUUUACACAGCCCAAAUGACAGGAUACUGAAGCAAGCAAGAGAGAGAAGCUGAUCACUCAUCCACUCCAUCAUCACCAUGCUCUUAAAGCUCUCUGUGUUUUUCAUUUCACAUCGUGUAUCAGUAAAAAUGUGGCAAUGACAAGAUACUAUUUCACUUUGUGAUACGAUGUGUUGGAAUAAAAAAAAGGAUGGAAAGUUUAUUGUCCUUCCAAGAAUAACAGACAUUUAUAUUUUGGAAAGAUGAGUUGUCUUUCAAACUUCACCAAGGAAUUAUAAAGAGUUAUGUCAGAACAUGGCAUGUAAAUUGAGUAUAUGAGAGUUCUACUUCCUCCACAUACUAUAUAACACCAGAAUGACACAGACUGAGUAAUUUAUAAAGAAAAGAAGUUUAUUUGGCUCAUGGUUCUGAAGGCUGCGAAGUUCAAGGUCCUGGUGGCAUUUUCUGAUGAGGACUUUUGUACCGCAUCAAAACAUGAGGGUAAAAAAUGGCCAAUUGGUGAAAAAAAUAAAAGAAGAAUGGCUAGAACUUCUCCCAAAGAGCAACACCUAGAAGGAAAGCUGGAAAUGAAUGAAGAGAAGGAAGAGACGUACAGCUGCACUGGCUUGCCUCUCAGUAAGAUUACAGAUGCUUGCAUGAAUUCAUGACAGAUAAUUAUGUUCUAUAUAUCACACUGACUUUUGUUACAGUGGUACUACCAAGUUCUGGCGAAGAAUGAGGUUGUCAUUGGUAAAUAAUUGUUGAACCAGUUACUACAUUUCCUAGCUCCUCUUACCUCUAUAUGUGUCCAUGAGACUUUUGAUUGUGAAUGGAAGAUGAGAAGAAUUGAUGUGUGCCAUUCUCAGCCAAGGCUUUUUUAAAGAAGAGAGAGAAUGUGUCUCCUCCACGUUUUUGUUUGUUUGUUUGGUUUUGUUCUUACCCAUAUCUUGCACAGAAGCAUUAAAUAACUACAAUGCCCUAGAGAAUGGCAGAUGGGUAAGAUGAAAGGAGCCAGGUCCAGGCAGCACUCCACAGAAUAGGUCUCCCCGAGACACAGAAGAGUGCCACUUGUAUGCAAAGCCAAAAUAAACCUCUAUUGUGUUUGAAUCUUUAUG
rnacentral:lncRNA from 1 species